rnacentral:rRNA from 1 species
GGAUGAACGCUAGCGGCAGGCUUAAUACAUGCAAGUCGAACGGUAACAGGUGUAGCAAUACAUGCUGACGAGUGGCGCACGGGUGCGUAACACGUAUGCAACCUACCUAUAACUGGAACAUAACUUCGAGAAAUCGGUGCUAAUAUUCCAUAACAUUGCGAAAAGGCAUCUUUUUGCAAUUAAAGUUUUAAUGGUUAUAGAUGGGCAUGCGCGACAUUAGCUAGUUGGUAAGGUAACGGCUUACCAAGGCUACGAUGUCUAGGGGUUCUGAGAGGAUUAUCCCCCACACUGGUACUGAGACACGGACCAGACUCCUACGGGAGGCAGCAGUAAGGAAUAUUGGGCAAUGGACGCAAGUCUGACCCAGCCAUGCCGCGUGCAGGAUGAAUGCCCUAUGGGUUGUAAACUGCUUUUGUACGGGAAAAAACCCUUGAUCGUGUAUCAGGGCUGAUGGUACCGUAAGAAUAAGGAUCGGCUAACUCCGUGCCAGCAGCCGCGGUAAUACGGAGGAUCCAAGCGUUAUCCGGAUUUAUUGGGUUUAAAGGGUGCGUAGGCGGAAUGAUAAGUCAGAGGUGAAAGCCCACAGCUUAACUGUGGAACUGCCUUUGAUACUGUCAAUCUUGAGUACAUUUGAAGUGGGCGGAAUGUGUUGUGUAGCGGUGAAAUGCUUAGAUAUAACACAGAACACCGAUUGCGAAGGCAGCUCACUAAGCUGUAACUGACGCUGAGGCACGAAAGCGUGGGGAUCAAACAGGAUUAGAUACCCUGGUAGUCCACGCCGUAAACGAUGAUUACUCGAUGUGUGCGAUAUACUGUACGCGUCUGAACGAAAGUAUUAAGUAAUCCACCUGGGGAGUACGACCGCAAGGUUGAAACUCAAAGGAAUUGACGGGGGCCCGCACAAGCGGAGGAGCAUGUGGUUUAAUUCGAUGAUACGCGAGGAACCUUACCUAGGCUUAAAUGUAGAUUGACAGGGGCUGAAAGGUCUUUUCUCUUCGGAGCAGUUUACAAGGUGCUGCAUGGCUGUCGUCAGCUCGUGCCGUGAGGUGUUGGGUUAAGUCCCGUAACGAGCGCAACCCCUAUCAUUAGUUGCCAUCAGGUAAUGCUGGGAACUCUAAUGAAACUGCCUACGCAAGUAGUGAGGAAGGUGGGGAUGACGUCAAGUCAGCACGGCCCUUACGCCUAGGGCUACACACGUGCUACAAUGGCAGGUACAGAGGGCAGCUACCCCGCGAGGGGAUGCAAAUCUCUAAAGCCUGUCUCAGUUCGGAUCGAAGUCUGCAACUCGACUUCGUGAAGUUGGAUUCGCUAGUAAUCGGAUAUCAGCAAUGAUCCGGUGAAUACGUUCCCGGGCC